rnacentral:lncRNA from 1 species
AAUAUUACAGAAAAAUGAAGUGAAAAAUGAAGAAAUGUAUUUUGAAAUUCUGAGAAGACAUAGGUGGCUUGAUUUCUAGUAGGAUUUUUGAUAAUCUUUACUAGAUUAGUAUUUAUUUUCCAGCAGUGCAUAUUUUCUGGUGAGAAAACCUGAAUCAAAAACAUUGAACAGGUUUGUACUGCACUGUUAUCAUUAGAAAUAAAAUUUAAAAAUUGUUCAGACAUGGCCAAUAUUCUCAUUGUUUAUAUAAACCACAAUCUUCUUUUUCCUGCUGUGGGAUAGGCCUGAGGGUUGAUCCUGUCUCACACUUUCCUCAUAGAGUGCAGAUAAUCAGCUACUGUACUUCUUCUCCGAUAGGUUUCCACAGUCCACCUCUGGGACCAGGCAGAAAGAAAAGGUGGAUCUGGAAGCAUUCAGAUUUGGAUUUGGUCUUCUUACUGGCAAAGGGAACAUGGUAGAAGAUAUGUACGAACAACUUAUGAUUUUACAUGCAAAUGUCAAAAUAAUAUUGCAAACAAGAUGAACUCCAGCUGUAUCUUACUCUACAUUUGAUAUAAUUUUGCUGCCUAUCUAGUGGGUGGCAGCCCUGUAUACAACACUGUGGUUAUAUCUGUUACUCUGGGACACUGUGUUUGUUAUUUUUAUAUCCAUUUGAGUCUACUGAUUCUUGAUGCAUGAGGAAAUACACCUAACUAUAUAUAUGACUGAAGGUAAAGAAGACAGCUAGAAUAGAUACAGAGUAAGUCAAGUCUUCUUGUGUUGCAAGAAAACCAAACUGUUUGGAGUGUCAAUUCAAAACUUAAACUUCUGAACACUACAAACUGAAGCAGGAGCAGAAAGCAAGGUGUAGUUAGUAGUGGAGACCAGAACGUUGGCCAUAUCUGAGUUUCCUAGUGUAGAAUCACAACUCUAAUCACAAUUCAGAGAACAGUGUUUUAAGUUAAAUUAAUGUUUACUUUUAAUUCUUCCUGUUCAACUCCUUAAAAAAUGGGACUUUUUCUAGAGUACAUGGUAAAUUAAAACUUUUGUUCAUUUUAUUUUUCCCCUGCUUAUUUACCCUGCUCUCCAUCACAGCUUUGCCUUGAGUACAAAAUACUUUUUUCACAUCAUAUACUGGAGAUGUCCAGCCACACUAAGGGAGUCUGAUUAAACUUAUUUUCUUGUCUGUCUUUCAAAUGGUUAUUUCAUUUAAUAACCGUAUUUAAUUUGCAUUUAAUUUCUGCAGCACUCUAUAGCAUCAAAAUAACAUUUAUUUGUCUGAAAU